rnacentral:rRNA from 1 species
AGUGGCGGACGGGUGAGUAACGCGUAAGAAUCUAACUUCAGGACGGGGACAACAGUUGGAAACGACUGCUAAUACCCGAUAUGCCGCGAGGUGAAACCUAAUUGGCCUGAAGAAGAGCUUGCGUCUGAUUAGCUAGUUGGUGGGGUAAGAGCCUACCAAGGCGACGAUCAGUAGCUGGUCUGAGAGGAUGAGCAGCCACACUGGGACUGAGACACGGCCCAGACUCCUACGGGAGGCAGCAGUGGGGAAUUUUCCGCAAUGGGCGAAAGCCUGACGGAGCAACGCCGCGUGAGGGAGGAAGGUCUUUGGAUUGUAAACCUCUUUUCUCAAGGAAGAAGUUCUGACGGUACUCGAGGAAUCAGCCUCGGCUAACUCCGUGCCAGCAGCCGCGGUAAUACGGGGGAGGCAAGCGUUAUCCGGAAUUAUUGGGCGUAAAGCGUCCGCAGGUGGUCAGCCAAGUCUGCCGUCAAAUCAGGUUGCUUAACGACCUAAAGGCGGUGGAAACUGGCAGACUAGAGAGCAGUAGGGGUAGCAGGAAUUCCCAGUGUAGCGGUGAAAUGCGUAGAGAUUGGGAAGAACAUCGGUGGCGAAAGCGUGCUACUGGGCUGUAUCUGACACUCAGGGACGAAAGCUAGGGGAGCGAAAGGGAUUAGAUACCCCUGUAGUCCUAGCCGUAAACGAUGGAUACUAGGCGUGGCUU